CGCGGUGGUCCCACCUGACCCCAUGCCGAACUCAGAAGUGAAACGCCGUAGCGCCGAUGGUAGUGUGGGGUCUCCCCAUGUGAGAGUAGGGCAUUGCCAGGC
rnacentral:rRNA from 2 species